rnacentral:rRNA from 1 species
AUUGAACGCUGGCGGCAGGCCUAACACAUGCAAGUCGAGCGAGCGGCGGACGGGUGAGUAAUGUCUGGGAAACUGCCUGAUGGAGGGGGGUAACUCCUGGAAACGGUAGCUAAUACCGCAUACCAUCAGAUGUGCCCAGAUGGGAGUAGCUAGUAGGUGGGGUAACGGCUCACCUAGGCGACGAGCCCUAGCUGGUCUGAGAGGAUGACCAGACACACUGGAACAGAGAGACGGUCAAGAGUCCUACGGGAGGAAGCGGUGGGGAAUAUUGCACAAUGGGAGAAAGCCUGAUGCAGUCAUGCAGCGUGUGUGAGGAAGGCCUUCGGGUUGUAAAGCACUUUCAGCGGGGAGGCGUUACCCGCAGAAGAAGCACCGGCUAACUCCGUGCCAGCAGCCGCGGUAAUUC